GGUUAAGGAACGAAGACUAAAUUCGCCACAUCCUGUGGUAAUGUCAUCGUUCUU
rnacentral:sRNA from 1 species